AAUAUUGGUAAAUGGAGGCAACUCUGAACCAGCCAUGGCGCGUGCAGGAUGACGGUCCUAUGGAUUGUAAACUGCUUUUGUACAGGAAGAAGACAUACUACGUUUAGUAAAUUGACGGAAGGUUACGAAUAAGGAUCGGCCAACUCCGUGCCAGCCGGCGCGGUAAUACGGAGGAUCCAAGCGUUAUCCGAAAGCAUUGGGUUUAAAUGAGCCGUAGGCGGCCUUAUAAGUCAGCCGUAAAAGUUUUUGGCUUAACCAAAAAAUUACCGUUGAUACUGUAUGGCUUGAAUUUUUGUGAAAUAGCUAGAAUAUGUAGUAUAGCGGUGAGAUGCAUAGAUAUUACAUGGAAGACCAAUUGCGAAGGCAGGUGACUAACAAACGAUUGACGCACAUGGACGAAAGCGUGGGUAGCGAACAG
rnacentral:rRNA from 1 species